UACAGAGGGGGCAAGCGUUAUUCGGAAUUAUUGGGCGUAAAGGGCGCGUAGGCGGCCUGGCAAGUGGAAGGUGAAAUCCCUCGGCUUAACCGAGGAACUGCCCUCCAAACUGCUUGGCUUGAGUCCGGGAGAGGUGAGUGGAAUUCCCAGUGUAGCGGUGAAAUGCGUAGAGAUGUGGAGGAACACCGAUGGCGAAGGCAGCCCCCUGGGCUGAGAUUGACGCUCAGGCACGAAAGCGUGGGGAGCAAACAGG
rnacentral:rRNA from 1 species